CUAUGGUAAGAGAAAAGAGUCUGAUGUGAUGGUAUGCCUGAAAUAAAUGUGAUGUGUUUGUAAUAAGUGUUAUGUGUUCGUGAUAAGUGUUGCGUGUUUGAAAUAACUGUUAUGUGCAUGAGUGAAAAGAGUGAAGUGAGAAUGUGAGCUAUGCAGGAGUGUGUGUUAAAGAUCCUGAUAGUGUGUUGGCUCAUUGUCUGCGCUGUGUUUGCAGGAGGUUUGGUGCAUUUGGCGUUGACGCAGCUCAGGAAGUGAUAGUUUUGUGAAUACUGCUCCACCUGUGCUGAGGAAGUGUAUCAGGGGGAGGUCUGAACAGGUAAAGCUGACAGUCCCCUAAGGGCACCCAUAUUCGCGGAGGCCGUUUUGGGUUGGCGCCUGGGCCGUUCGCGUGUGUGCUCGUGGGCCCGCGGGGCCCUCGUGCAUUCGGCGGUUUGUCCGUCCACAAAGGGGGCGCAUUCAGUCAGUCGUUUUGGGCGAUAUAGCCGCCGUGCCAUAAGGCAGUGGGACGUUCGACUGUCUGUAGCGCAGUCCGGCGUGUUGUGCGAUAUAGCCGCUGAGCCGACUAACGGUGAGUUGUGUGACUGUCUGAAGCCUACUCUGAUCCUGCUCCUGGGACUUGUAUGCACAAUUUGCACAGUAAAUAAAAAUCUCAGUUCUGCAGUUCAGUACUUGGUUGUGCCAUUUCAGUUAAUGUAUAAACACAGGUUCACUAAACAGUAAACAUUUCAGUAAACAUUUUACUAUGGUCUAAACUGCAAUUAAACCAAUAUUGGUGUAUACAGUUUGACUACUGAAGUGAAGGAGUGGGCUUACAGGGCAGGGGGAAUGGCGAUAUCUGAAUGUCAGAGAACCUAUGACAAAAUGUUUAGGUCAGCAGGGUGAAGAUUCAAAUGCAAGAGUCUGAAUAUCUACUCCUGUGACUUGUUCACUAUCUAUAUAAGCUGCCUUAGUGAAAAUGUUCCAGAUGCUGCUUUUCAUUUUAUGCUGACAGCUGUAUACUGUUUUGAUUCUACCCUGAAUAAAGCUCUUUAGAAACUGCAACAUG